UUUUUACAAAGGAUCCGAAUUUCUCGGUCGUUACAGUAGAAGCAGACUCGACGAUCGCAGUUUUACAAGAGGAUAAUCGAACUCAUGAGGAGCUUUGAAGAACUGAACAAUUGCUCAACAAUUCAGAGUAUGGGGAUAUAAGUUCAAUCAUCAGCUCGAAAGAAGUCUUGCAGAUUCAUCUCAGAAAUGGAGCCCUCGAACCUUCAUGAAGUACAUCAAUGGUCAAGAUGAGCAGUGUCAAGAUAAGGACUGAUGUCAAAACCACCCACUACAGCAUCUCUCAAAAGUUACUCACUGUGUCAACAAAGGAAAACGUAGAGUCCAUAGCUGGCUUACCAUGCUACUCUACGAAUCAAAAGGUCAACGGUCAAAGCCACGUCUAUUAAACGUCUACUCUUCUAAAAGGAAAUAUCUAACUAAAAAUAUAUGGGGAGUUACAGCUCAUUACUGGGCAUCGUGCAACCAAUGGUUGGUUGACACAUCACUGGUUAUGCAGAGUUAGAAGGAACUGUGUGACGCCCCUAAAAUAGGUCCAAUCCAUAACCCAUUCUGAGUCUCCAAAUACAUGGUACAGAAAUAGCUACAACUUCAUUAUUACAAUUGUCGUGCAAAAUAUGACAACACAUAAACUGUGAGUUAAAAUACAAAUAUUGUCUUCUAGACAAUAUUCACACUCAAAUAAGUCCUCAUUACAAUUAUUGAUACACUAUUUUACAAAAUAGUGAGGACUACUAAAACAACUGUCUUGAACCAUUACUCCAUACCCCGACUAGUACUCGCUACAUUCUCGCCUCAUGAGAAGAAAAAUGGAACAACAAGGAAAAGGGUGAGCUCAACU
rnacentral:lncRNA from 1 species